rnacentral:rRNA from 2 species
GGGUUGUGAGGUUAAGCGACUAAGCGUACACGGUGGAUGCCCUGGCAGUCAGAGGCGAUGAAGGGCGUGCUAAUCUGCGAUAAGCGCCGGUAAGGUGAUAUGAACCGUUAUAACCGGCGAUACCCGAAUGGGGAAACCCAGUGUGAUUCGUCACACUAUCAUUAACUGAAUCCAUAGGUUAAUGAGGCGAACCGGGGGAACUGAAACAUCUAAGUACCCCGAGGAAAAGAAAUCAACCGAGAUUCCCCCAGUAGCGGCGAGCGAACGGGGAGGAGCCCAGAGCCUGAAUCAGCAUGUGUGUUAGUGGAAGCGUCUGGAAAGGCGCGCGAUACAGGGUGACAGCCCCGUACACAAAAGCGCAUGUGCUGUGAGCUCGAUGAGUAGGGCGGGACACGUGGUAUCCUGUCUGAAUAUGGGGGGACCAUCCUCCAAGGCUAAAUACUCCUGACUGACCGAUAGUGAACCAGUACCGUGAGGGAAAGGCGAAAAGAACCCCGGCGAGGGGAGUGAAAAAGAACCUGAAACCGUGUACGUACAAGCAGUGGGAGCCCCACCACUAAGCCAGUGGUGAACUCCACAUCCGCAUCCUUUGCUGAGGAUACGGUUAACGGAGCGAAAGCGACGUUCAACCGCAAAACAAGCAGAGGGGGCUUAGUGGUGGGGUGACUGCGUACCUUUUGUAUAAUGGGUCAGCGACUUAUAUUCUGUAGCAAGGUUAACCGAAUAGGGGAGCCGGAGGGAAACCGAGUCUUAAUUGGGCGUUAAGUUGCAGGGUAUAGACCCGAAACCCGGUGAUCUAGCCAUGGGCAGGUUGAAGGUUGGGUAACACUAACUGGAGGACCGAACCGACUAAUGUUGAAAAAUUAGCGGAUGACCUGUGGCUGGGGGUGAAAGGCCAAUCAAACCGGGAGAUAGCUGGUUCUCCCCGAAAGCUAUUUAGGUAGCGCCUCGUGAAUUCAUCUCCGGGGGUAGAGCACUGUUUCGGCUAGGGGGCCAUCCCGGCUUACCAACCCGAUGCAAACUGCGAAUACCGGAGAAUGUUAUCACGGGAGACACACGGCGGGUGCUAACGUCCGUCGUGAAGAGGGAAACAACCCAGACCGCCAGCUAAGGUCCCAAAGUCAUGGUUAAGUGGGAAACGAUGUGGGAAGGCCCAGACAGCCAGGAUGUUGGCUUAGAAGCAGCCAUCAUUUAAAGAAAGCGUAAUAGCUCACUGGUCGAGUCGGCCUGCGCGGAAGAUGUAACGGGGCUAAACCAUGCACCGAAGCUGCGGCAGCGAACGUAUCACCCAAGACAACUUUACGGAGUUGACGAUUGACGGAGCGAAGCGACGUCAAAGCGUUCAUUAAAGUCGAGUUGGCUUAGGGAUACGUUCGUUGGGUAGGGGAGCGUUCUGUAAGCCUGUGAAGGUGUGUCGUGAGGCAUGCUGGAGGUAUCAGAAGUGCGAAUGCUGACAUAAGUAACGAUAAAGCGGGUGAAAAGCCCGCUCGCCGGAAGACCAAGGGUUCCUGUCCAACGUUAAUCGGGGCAGGGUGAGUCGACCCCUAAGGCGAGGCCGAAAGGCGUAGUCGAUGGGAAACGGGUUAAUAUUCCUGUACUUGGUGUUACUGCGAAGGGGGGACGGAGAAGGCUAUGUUGGCCGGGCGACGGUUGUCCCGGUUUAAGCGUGUAGGUGUGUGUUCCAGGUAAAUCCGGUUCACUUUAACACUGAGGCGUGACGACGAGGCACUACGGUGCUGAAGCAACAAAUGCCCUGCUUCCAGGAAAAGCCUCUAAGCAUCAGGUAACAUCAAAUCGUACCCCAAACCGACACAGGUGGUCAGGUAGAGAAUACCAAGGCGCUUGAGAGAACUCGGGUGAAGGAACUAGGCAAAAUGGUGCCGUAACUUCGGGAGAAGGCACGCUGACACGUAGGUGAAGUGAUUUACUCAUGGAGCUGAAGUCAGUCGAAGAUACCAGCUGGCUGCAACUGUUUAUUAAAAACACAGCACUGUGCAAACACGAAAGUGGACGUAUACGGUGUGACGCCUGCCCGGUGCCGGAAGGUUAAUUGAUGGGGUCAGCGCAAGCGAAGCUCCUGAUCGAAGCCCCGGUAAACGGCGGCCGUAACUAUAACGGUCCUAAGGUAGCGAAAUUCCUUGUCGGGUAAGUUCCGACCUGCACGAAUGGCGUAAUGAUGGCCAGGCUGUCUCCACCCGAGACUCAGUGAAAUUGAACUCGCUGUGAAGAUGCAGUGUACCCGCGGCAAGACGGAAAGACCCCGUGAACCUUUACUAUAGCUUGACACUGAACAUUGAGCCUUGAUGUGUAGGAUAGGUGGGAGGCUUUGAAGUGUGGACGCCAGUCUGCAUGGAGCCGACCUUGAAAUACCACCCUUUAAUGUUUGAUGUUCUAACGUGGACCCGUUACCCGGGUUGCGGACAGUGUCUGGUGGGUAGUUUGACUGGGGCGGUCUCCUCCUAAAGAGUAACGGAGGAGCACGAAGGUUGGCUAAUCCUGGUCGGACAUCAGGAGGUUAGUGCAAUGGCAUAAGCCAGCUUGACUGCGAGCGUGACGGCGCGAGCAGGUGCGAAAGCAGGUCAUAGUGAUCCGGUGGUUCUGAAUGGAAGGGCCAUCGCUCAACGGAUAAAAGGUACUCCGGGGAUAACAGGCUGAUACCGCCCAAGAGUUCAUAUCGACGGCGGUGUUUGGCACCUCGAUGUCGGCUCAUCACAUCCUGGGGCUGAAGUAGGUCCCAAGGGUAUGGCUGUUCGCCAUUUAAAGUGGUACGCGAGCUGGGUUUAGAACGUCGUGAGACAGUUCGGUCCCUAUCUGCCGUGGGCGCUGGAGAACUGAGGGGGGCUGCUCCUAGUACGAGAGGACCGGAGUGGACGCAUCACUGGUGUUCGGGUUGUCAUGCCAAUGGCACUGCCCGGUAGCUAAAUGCGGAAGAGAUAAGUGCUGAAAGCAUCUAAGCACGAAACUUGCCCCGAGAUAAGUUCUCCCUGAGACUUAGAGUCUCCUGAAGGAACGUUGAAGACGACGACGUUGAUAGGCCGGGUGUGUAAGCGCAGCGAUGCGUUGAGCUAACCGGUACUAAUGAACCGUGAGGCUUAACCUUACAACGCCGAAG